AAAAACUCAGGUCUACCCACUUACCCACGAAAUACUGCAGUUUCUUAAAAAAUAAACUCCAAUUCCCUAAAUCCCAAUUCCCAUUUCCUUAAAAGAUCAACUACAAUUCCCUCAUUCUCAAUUCCCUAAAUCCCAAUUAUACCAAAUCCAAAAUCUUAAUCAAUCCAAACAUUUUUGUGCGAGCUCCCUUCAAUUCGAAUUUUGUCCAAGUUCCAUUUAAUCCAAAAUUUGUUGAGGUCAUUUGCGAUUUGGUUUCUUCUUCGAUAAACCUUUAUCAACGGUUGUGAUGAAAUCUGUCUGGCGUACUUCUUCAAGUUGUAAAUCUGCUAUGAAUUGUCAAUUUUGAUAAGUUUUAAAUGGAUGGAUUCCAGGAGGAAUUUGAAGAAUCUCAGGGAUAAACAAAAUAUCCUCCUACUUCCUUAAUGCUGGUUAUGGUAACUUAGGUAAUAAAGAAAGAGGUACGGUUUAGCUACUCUGUUUACUAUGGCGGGCGAGAAGUGUACGCUAAAUCAUCUACUACUCAGACUUCCACUCUAUACCCUACAACAAUGGAAAGUUCAUACCUGUAGCUGGAUGAUAAAUAUGGGUUGGAAGUGGUGUCAAGGUAGGAAAGUUCAGGGCAUAUCGUGAUCAGAAUGCAUUUUCUAAGAGUGAAUCGCAGCUGAGAAGAUGGCUAGGAAACAAAGAUCUCAAUGCACUCGUGGAUUUCACUAUUCUCUAAGAUGAUGACCAGUGCUCUCGGCAAAAUGACAUUGAUUUUGGAUUAUAUGGCAAUGGCUUCAUGAAAGGAGAUUCUCAACCACAAGCAUACCAAUAUUCAUGAAGAUGUGUAGUUCAAAUAAUGGUUUAAUGAUCAAGAUCAGAUUAAUGAAACCAGGACUCAUUGGACGUGUUUUGUUUUUCUUUUAUGCUUAUGUGUAGUCAUUUUUUUUCCAAUUUGUGACAAUGAAUAUUGAUUGUACAUGGGUAUGAGAUGUUUAUUUGAUGUAAUUGAGAUAUGAAAUGACUUUUGUUAUUUAUACCGAAUUGUUGUUAAUGGAUUUAGAAUAUUGUAUAUUGUAAUAUUAUGAUAAUAUCUCUAUUUUAAUU